rnacentral:rRNA from 1 species
UACGGGGGGGGCAAGCGUUGUUCGGAAUUACUGGGCGUAAAGGGCUCGUAGGCGGCCAACUAAGUCAGACGUGAAAUCCCUCGGCUUAACCGAGGACGUGCGGAAGAAACUGCAGGGCUCGAGUCCGGAAGAGGGGGGCGGAAUCCCCAGUGUAGCGGUGAAAUGCGUAGAGAUCGGGAGGAACACCAGUGGCGAAGGCGACUACCUGGACCAGCACUGACACUGAGGCACGAAAGCGUGGGGAGCAAACAGG